GGGGGGGGGGGGCAAGGCGUUGUUCGGGAAUUACUGGGGCGUAAAGGGCGCGUAGGCGGCCCGGGCCAGUCCCUUGUGAAAUCCCACAGCUCAACUGUGGAACUGCAGGGGAUACUGCCAGGCUUGAGUCCGGGAGAGGGAGUGGAAUUCCCAGUGUAGCGGUGAAAUGCGUAGAUAUUGGGAGGAACACCGGUGGCGAAGGCGGCUCCCUGGACCGGUACUGACGCUGAGGCGCGAAAGCUAGGGGAGCAAACGGGAUUAGAUACCCCGGUAGUCCUAGCUGUAAACGUUGAGCACUUGGUGUGGCGGGUAUCGACCCCUGCUGUGCCGAAGCUAAACGCAUUAAGUGCUCCGCCUGGGGAGUACGGUCGCAAAGGCUG
rnacentral:rRNA from 1 species